CCGGCGAACGGGUGCGUAACACGUGAACAACCUGCCCUCGUGUGGGGGAUAGCCAUGCUAACGCGUGGGUAAUACCGCAUACGUUCCCUUGGAGGAGUCUCUGGGGGAGGAAAGCUCCGGCGCACGGGGAGGGGUUCGCGGCCUAUCAGCUAGUUGGUGGGGUAAUGGCCCACCAAGGCGACGACGGGUAGCUGGUCUGAGAGGAUGGCCAGCCACAUUGGGACUGAGAGACGGCCCAG
rnacentral:rRNA from 1 species